CCCUUAGAUGUUCUGGGCCGCACGCGUGCUACACUGAGUGGAUCAGCGGGUCAGGUUGCGCGAAAGUGUUUCCUAAUCUUUAAAUCCGCUCGUGAUGGGGAUUGACGGUUGCAAUUUUCCGUCAUGAACGAGGAAUACCUUGUAAGCGCGGGUCAUCAUCCCGCGCUGAAUACGUCCCUGCCCUUUGUACACACCGCCCGUCGCUCCUACCGAUUGACUGGUCCGGUGAGGCUUUGGGAUCUGAGCAAAGAGAGCGUUUCGCUCGUUUUGCCCGGAAAACUCAGUCGAACCUUAUCAUUAAGAGGAAGGAGAAGUCGUAACA
rnacentral:rRNA from 1 species